rnacentral:lncRNA from 1 species
GUAGCCCUCCCCCCUCCACCAGCUCGGGGGCCCCCCCUUCCUCGUCCCCCCCCCCCCCCUCCAGCGUCUGGGCUGAGUGAUCAAAAUAGAGGAAGAUGGUUGUCGCCGCAAUCCAGGGCUUUGCAAGGCGCAGUUUAAUGGGCCGCCUGUCAGCUUCCCGCUCGCUAAAGGAGGUGACAAGCCUGCCGAGCCGGGAAGGGCCUGGGGCUCAGUGGGCUGCACCCUGCGCCCGCGCCCCUGCCCGCCACCUCCCCUAGGCAAAAUCCGUUCUGGGUUGAGUCGCCAGGAGCUGCCCGCGGCAGACCUACCUGUUUAGGGGCGCUGGAAAUGCGAACCCCGCCGGAGGGACAGUCGCAGGAGCCCCGCAGCCCCACAGGCUCCAGAACCCUGUUGGGCAUUACCUACCCUCGAAGGCAAGCUUUGGAAGGACAGAAAUCCUUGUCGAUCCUGCCUCAGAGAGCAACCCUGGUGACAGGUUUUUAAUUAAGAGAAGCCUGCUCUACCCCCCUGUGCUGUAGAAUCAGCGUUUUCGCAUUUCUAUUUUUUUUAAAUCCAUUUUUUAAGGCAACUUUUCUGGUGAAAAAAAGAGCUAGUUAGCGCCCCAUUCGUUCUAUUUUCUUUUCUCUACUUUUAGAAAAAAAAGAGGGGGAAGGGUUCGAAAGCGAACUGGGGGUGUCUAAUUUAAUUCCUGGAUAAAUUUGAGGAAAAAACUUCAGCCUCUUGAGGGCAGUUUCAAGUUGCCCUUCCUGGAGUCUCCUGCGUGGGUUUCUAGGCUGCCCUCUUUGGGAAGCUGGAGCUCGGCGGGGGGAGGAGGGAGGAGAGAGGAGAAAGGAACGAAAAUAGCCGGAGCCGAGGGGACCGUGAGCGGUGACCGCGCUUGGAGCUGGGCGCACGGGUCUCGGUGGCGGCCAGGGCGGCGGGAGGCACCCGGUGCAACCCCCGGACGGCCAGGAGCAAAGACGGAGAAGAGAGGGGGGUUAGAGAAAGAAGAUGCUCCACGACGCCGUAAUUGUGACGGUGGGAUAUGUGUGCCAUAAAUCAUUUAGUUACUAAUAAAAAUUCUGCCGUUUGCCCUGGAUUUGCCAAUGGCGUUUGCAUUUUUCAAGUAUGCGCCUCGUCGGCGUGGCAAACCAAGCCGGCAUUUCAUUAGGGCCGCGCGGUUCGGGGCCGAUGAGGCGCCCUCCCCCGCCAGAAUGUGUGCGCCCCAGCCCCCUCCGCCGCCCGCUCUGCACAGCCCGCACCCGUGAGCUGCCACGCGGCCCCCCAGCCACCACCCGGCGUGGGGCCUGGAGACGCGGCGACACGGACAGAGCCAGCUCGUGCUGCUCCCGUGGGGCGCAGGAGAGGCCCUCCGCGUAGCUGCUCGGACCCGGCCUGGUGUCCCCCUCGCGGGCCGCACGCCCUGCCGCCCCGCAGUGGCCGAGAAAACAGGCCGGGAGCCAUCUUGGGGCGUGGGACGGAUCCCAAGAGGAGGCUGCAGCUAAAGCCCCUUGAAAAAAACCCUGCCAUGACGGGGGGGGGCCUCUGGGCACCCCUAGCCAGGCCUUGGGGUCUGGGAGAACGCGGUCUGCGCCCUGGCCUGCCACACCGAACCGAGAAAACCCAGCUGCCUGCCCGGUGCGGAGCGGGAACCACCGCACAGCCCCGCCGCCAUCUUCCGCGCCCCACCCCCCUCGAGCUUGUUUACCCGGCGGGAUCCGUGGCCAAAAACCGUGUUGACGCAGUGGGUGUGUGGGUGUGUGUUUUGUACUGACUGGGCGGAAAAUCAGCCGGGGGUGGGGACCUCCACGCAGUCUCAAGCCGCAAUUCCCGGAGAACCCACCCUGGCCAGCUCGGCUGGCCCAGUGCGCUUGUCCGAGGCCAGCCGGAGUAGCCUGAGCUGGGAUCUUUGUAUGUGUCCCCAGGCAUCCGCUCUCAAGACGCGUUCCAGCCGACAAAAUUCUCCCCCUUCAUUAUAAAGCCAAAGGACAGGCCAACCUUGAGCCCGGCUGUGUCCCCUGCCGCGCCUUUGUCGGCGCUGAGGCCUGCGAAUGUUGGCUGGUCCUCCGAUUCCUGGAGCACAAGUCGGCCUCAGUUCUCCCCACGGCACGGUCGAACCUGGUUCUUCCAGAACCUUGGUGUUGCUGGCCGCGUGGAUACAUCUUCCCCGUUUUCUCAGCAAGGGUAAGGGGACAGCUAGCAUUCUUUCCAAGGCAUGGAAGUCCAAGUCACCCCAUCGGUUGCCCCGAACCGCCUUUCUCCGAUCGGAGCCCCCGAACUACACCAGCGUCUAAGGUAGUGAAGGGGAUGCCGAGGAUGGCGAGCUCCAAAGGCCGUGGGCAGUUCUAGGCAAGAGUUUCCGCAGGGUCGAACAACCAGGGAGCUCCCUGCCCGGGCGCCGCUAAAACCCGGAGAGGCCGCGCCCGGCACAGCCAUCCUCGCUGCAACUGGACCAGGUGCGGCUCAGCCAGCCCAGUCGAGAGCCAUGAGGACUCACCAGGAAGGCCAGAGACGCGGUGCCAGCGCCCCGCUCGCCACCAGAACCCUGGUGCACGGCUAGGAGAGCCCGGGCCGUUGCGCCAGGCCGGGCCUCGGAGGAUUCCUCCGACUCCUCUCGGCCCCGCCUACGACCCUGGCCUCUUCCUCCGGCCCGGGUCGGGUCUUCCACUCCACUGUUUGGCUCGAAGAGGACGGAGAAGCGCUCAGUGCGCUGGGGGCCGGCCACGGCCAUAAAUCUCCCUCACCAGCCCUCCUUCCGCUGCUCACUGGCGGGUGUUCCAGCCUGGCCACUCGUCCCCGGCCGCCAGGUACCCUGCUCUCCCGGUCACUACGCUGGAAAUCACUGUCAGGAGCUUCCCCGUUCGCCAAAAAGAGGGAGUCGCCUCGCCCAUUCGGUGCCACCACCAGCCAUCCCCUCGAGUGCCGGACCCCGAGGCGGCCUGGGCCUCACGGAUCACCGCCCUGGGUAGGGGCGUGCGGGGGCCAGGUGAAGGCCUGCUGAGGUUUGAAUGGGUGCGCAGCUAUCCGAGCCACCGAGGGGCGACGCCUAGGUCAGGAACAGUGGCUUCUCAGCUGGUCACCUCAACGGACCCUGCCUUAGUCCCGCGCCCUUGGAUCCCUCUUCGCUCGCCACGGGUUCCCCAGCUUGGCGACCCUUGUUUGACGCCCUACCCUCUUGGCACAAAUAACCAAACCAUUGGGAAAACAGGAAUCUGUCGCUUGCAGGUCGAAGGCUAGGCGGGGCGCUGGUUUUUCCACCCUAACAGUCGGGAGGAAGUUGUUGGGAAGAUCUGCAGUAGUAACGACUAAUGUUAUGGGCAUUGUCUGUCUUCUUUGACAGAGGGGCCCGCAGACCUCUCUGCUGGUCCCUGCUUCAGCCAAGCAAGUGGAGGUACUCAGUGGGGACUAACCACCACGAAAGGGGCCGUGGGACGCUGGGUGGGGACAGUUGCGGAGGGGUUGACAAUGCACCUUCUUGGGUGCCUCCCCAAAACCUCACAUGGUGCCAGUGACACAAUUCCGAGCGGGUGACAGAGGAGGCCGGGUGCAGGGGCUUUUGAAACUGGGCCCCGAGGUCGCUCUCACUCAAGGAGCUCCAGCUCCCUCAAAUUUCCAAAAGCACAGUUGGAGGGACCGAGGGCUUCCGGCAGCCAGGCGCGCAGGAAUUUGCGCGCUGGCCCCAGCGACGCCCGGGAGCGCAGAGGCUGCCCAGCCACAUUCCGGCGAACCGCCCCAGCGAGGCCCCAGCCCAGGAAGCGGCUCGGAAAACAAAGCGCUGUGGUCUCAGCCCAAGGUUAAAGUCCACCGCCAGCGCUUUUUCCCCCGGAAUCUGAGAGCGAUAGCGUUUCUCCAAAUAAACCGCCAAUAAAUCAGCUCCCGGGCCGAGCCAACUGAAGAGCUCUGGUGACCUUGGGGAAUACUUCCUGCCUGCCAGACCCAGCAGAGGACAGGCGUGGGGGAGGGGGCCAAUGUCAGCCCGUUCCCCCCACCCCCCAAGAAGAGAGGUGUGCCAAGGACAUUUGUGGGUGUUUAUUAGGGUGUGCGUGCCCAGAGGGGAUGGGCGAGGUUUGGAGCAAGGUUUGGGAAGCCCUGGUUAUUUGGGGACCUCAGUGCGCGGUUGUAAGGAGGUUUGUGAUGCUGGGGGCUGCUUCGGAAAGGCUGACCGAUGAGGGCCUCCAGAGCCACACGGUGCUAGUCCCUGGGGACCCAGCCCCGGACACUCUGGGCCCCUUCGGGGGCCCUGGUCUUUGUCUGGGUGUGACAGGGUGUGUUCGGCUUCGAGCUUGUGUAGAGUGUGACUAAUGGGAUUUAUGGAUGUCAGUGCCAGGGUGACUAAUGGAGGCUUGGCAGCACGUGCUUUUGGCGAGGGCCACUGCACCUAGGUGGGGACCCAGUGCCCCAGGAGGGGGCUGCUGGGUCUCAGAAGCCCCCUCCCCUCCCCCACUAGCUCCCAGCUUGGUCUGCGGCCCCUCCACACACCCCCUGGCAGGCCAGUGCAUGCUGCAGCGCUCCCCGACACAUCCCUCUGCGGCCUGGCCCCCAGAGGCCCUCCAGGCCUCCCAUCUCUCUGACCCGUGUGGUUGGUGCCUCCAGAUCCUGGCCUUCCCACCACCUUGGCAGAGCCCUCCAAUCCGCCUCUCUUUCAUCCUGAAAACUCCCUACACGCACAUUGUACAAGCCCCUUCGGGCUCAGCCCUGGGAUGUGGGUACCAUUCUAUCCAUUCAGUGGCUGCUACACCUUCAGGGUGGGCAGGAAAAGUGACAGACUCAUAGCUAGCAGGGCUGACCUCACCAGGCAGGGUGCUGGGGAGAACAUGCCUUCUUUUUUUGUUGAUUUGGGGGAGUUUUGGGGGGGGGUUCUUUUGACAGUGCUGGGGGGUGGAACCGAGAGCCUCAGACAUACUAAGCGUGCAGGCUACCACUGAGCUGCACCCCUUAAAAAACGUAAAUGAUUGCUGGGGAUUUAGUUCAGUGGCGCCACACCUGCCUUGCAAGCGCCAAGGUCCUGAAUUCCACCCCUGGUACCAAAAAAAACAUAAAUGCUGCCAGGUGUGGUGACGCACUCCCUCUGAUCUCAGCAGAUGGCCAGCAGAAGCAGGAGGAUGGCAAGUUUGAGCCCAGCCUGAGCAACUUAGGAAGGCUGUCUCAAAGUAAUAAAUGGGAUGGAGGAGCCAGGGAUUUAGCUCAGUGGUUCCACUGCCUUCCUUGCAAGUGCAAGGUCCUGAGUUCGACCCUCCAAUAAAAAAAAAAAAAAGGUCUAGGAAUGUAGCUCAGUGCAGAGGCCCUGAGUUCAAUCCCCAGUGCCACCAAAUAAAAGAGUAAAUAACCUAUCCACACUAAC